rnacentral:rRNA from 1 species
GUCUACAGCCAUACCACCGUGAACAAGCCCGAUCCCAUCUGAUUUCAAAAGCUAAGCAGGGUCAGGCCUAGUUAGUACUUGGAUGGGAGACCACCUAGGAAGACCAAGUGAUAUAAGCA